rnacentral:rRNA from 1 species
AACGUAGGUGGCGAGCGUUAUCCGGAUUUACUGGGCGUAAAGCGUGCGUAGACGGUUACGUAAGUCGGGUGUGAAAGCCCCGGGCUCAACCUGGGAAUUGCAUUCGAGACUGUGUAGCUAGGGUGCGGAAGAGGGAAGCGGAAUUUCCGGUGUAGCGGUGAAAUGCGCAGAUAUCAGGAGGAACACCGGUGGCGAAGGCGGGUCUCUGGGCCGAUACUGACGCUGAGGAGCGAAAGCGUGGGGAGCGAACAGG